AAUGAACGCUGGCGGCAGGCCUAACACAUGCAAGUCGAACGAGUGGCGGACGGGUGAGUAAUGUGUGGGAAACUGCCUGAUGGGGGGGGAUAACUACUGGAAAAGGUAGCUACUACCGCAUACCAUCAGCUGUGCCCAGAUGGGCUUAGCGUGUGGGUGGGGUAACGGCUCAGCAAGGCGACGAUCCCUAGCUGGUCUGAGAGGAUGCCCAGCCGCCCUGGAACUGAGACACGGUCCAGACUCCUACGGGACGAAGCAGUGGGUAAUAGUGCGCAAUGGGCGCAAUCCUGAUGCAGCCAUGCCGCGUGUAUGAAGAAGGCCUUCGGUUUGUAAAGUACUUUCAGCGGGGAGGCGUUACCCGCAGAAGAAGCACCGGCUAACUCCGUGCCAGCCGCCGCGGUAAUUC
rnacentral:rRNA from 1 species